rnacentral:rRNA from 1 species
GCAUGCAUUAAAAUCUUGAAAAAAUAUAUUAGGAUUGGUUAAUGUGUUCUUUAAUGGCUACUUGGGCGAGAGUAGUACUAGGAUGGGUGACCCCCUGGGAAGUCCUCGUGUUGCACCCC